rnacentral:rRNA from 1 species
GUCUUUUAGAUUAUAUUAAAAGUCUAAUCUGCCCAAUGAUUUUUUAAUGGCCGCGGUAAACUGACCGUGCGAAGGUAGCAUUAUAAUUAGUCUUUUAAUUGAAGGCUUGAAUGAAUGAUUGGAUGAAAAGAUUUCUUUAUUAAUAUAAAAAUUUAAAUUUAACAUUUAAGUAAAAAGGCUUAAAUACUUUAGUGGGACGAGAAGACCCUAUAGAAUUUAAAAUUUAAAGUUAUUAAAUACAUUUAGAUCAAUAUUGAAUUUUAUAAUUAUAAAUUUUUUGUUGGGGUGACAUUAAAAUACUAAUAACUUUUAAUUAAAUUUUCAUAAAUUAAUGAUAAAUAGAUCCAAAUUUUUUGAUUUCAAGAUUAAAUUACCUUAGGGAUAACAGCGUUAUUAUUUUAAAAAGUUCUUAUUGAUAAAACUAGAUUGCGACCUCGAUGUUGGAUUAAGAAAAGAGCUUGGUGCAAGUUUUAAGUAUCUGGGUCUGUUCGACCUUUAAAUUCUU